GUGGCAUUAGCUCAGAUGGAUAGAGCAACGGCCUUCUAAGCCGUGGGUCGCAGGUUCGAAUCCUGCAUGCCGCGCCA
rnacentral:tRNA from 6 species